CCGUUACACGGGGCCGCGGCCGCGGUAACACGGAGGGUGUAAGCGUUGUCCGGAUGUAUUGUGCGCAAUGAGCCCGGAGUCGGUUUGUCGCGUCGGAUGUGAAAACCCAAUGGCUUCACCUUGGGCCUGCAUUCGAUACGGGCAGACUAGAGUGUGGUAGGGGAGACUGGAACUCCUGGUGUAGCGGUGGAAUGCGCAGAUAUCAGGAAGAACACCGAUGGCGAAGGCAGGUCUCUGGGCCACAACUGACGCUGAGGAGCGAAAGCGUGGGGAGCAAACAGGAUUAGAUACCCGGGUAGUC
rnacentral:rRNA from 1 species